GAGGAAAGCUGGAGGCGUGCCUAAUACAUGCAAGUCGAGCGAACGGACGAGAAGCUUGCUUUUCUGAUGUUAGCGGCGGACGGGUGAGUAACACGUGGAUAACCUACCUAUAAGACUGGGAUAACUUCGGGAAACCGGAGCUAAUACCGGAUAAUAUUUUGAACCGCAUGGUUCAAAAGUGAAAGACGGUCUUGCUGUCACUUAUAGAUGGAUCCGCGCUGCAUUAGCUAGUUGGUAAGGUAACGGCUUACCAAGGCAACGAUGCAUAGCCGACCUGAGAGGGUGAUCGGCCACACUGGAACUGAGACACGGUCCAGACUCCUACGGGAGGCAGCAGUAGGGAAUCUUCCGCAAUGGGCGAAAGCCUGACGGAGCAACGCCGCGUGAGUGAUGAAGGUCUUCGGAUCGUAAAACUCUGUUAUUAGGGAAGAACAUAUGUGUAAGUAACUGUGCACAUCUUGACGGUACCUAAUCAGAAAGCCACGGCUAACUACGUG
rnacentral:rRNA from 1 species